rnacentral:rRNA from 1 species
GACGAACCGUGCGAACGUUAUUCGGAAUCACUGGGCUUAAAGCGCGUGUAGGCGGGCCGCCCCGUCGGCUGCUGAAAUCCCCCGGCUCAACCGGGGAAGUGGCACCGAUACGAGCGGCCUCGAGGGGGGUAGGGGGGUCUGGAACUUCCGGUGGAGCGGUGAAAUGCGUUGAGAUCGGGAGGAACACCAGUGGCGAAGGCGGCUUUCUGGCCCGUUCUUGACGCUGAGGCGCGAAAGCUAGGGUAGCAAACGGG